rnacentral:lncRNA from 1 species
CAGUCAUGAAAAGCACCUUCACAGCAGAUUGAGUAUGUUAUGACAGUUUGAAGGGCUAUAGGCUGCUUUGUUAUCUUCUGAGCAAUAACUAGCAAUUUUGGCACCUACGGCAACCAAAGUGGAAAGAGUAUGGGAAAGAAGGAAGCAUGAUUUUGGACACUGAAAGAUUUUAGGAUGGAGCUGGAGAGCAUCUAAUUAAGACAACAGCCUCAAGAACUGACUUAAUGAUGCAAGGAUGUUAAGCAUGGAGAAGAUGAUGCUGCUGGAGGUGGAGGAAGGGGAAAGUCACAAUUGCUAUCUCUGGUGCAAGGAUUAGAU